rnacentral:rRNA from 1 species
GGGGAAUAUUGGACAAUGGGCGAAAGCCUGAUCCAGCAACGCCGCGUGAGGGAUGACUGCCUUCGGGUUGUAAACCUCUUUCAGCAGGGACGAAGCGAAAGUGACGGUACCUGCAGAAGAAGCACCGGCCAACUACGUGCCAGCAGCCGCGGUAAUACGUAGGGUGCGAGCGUUGUCCGGAAUUAUUGGGCGUAAAGGGCUCGUAGGCGGUUUGUCACGUCGGGAGUGAAAACUCAGGGCUCAACCCUGAGCCUGCUUCCGAUACGGGCAGACUAGAGGUAUGCAGGGGAGAACGGAAUUCCUGGUGUAGCGGUGAAAUGCGCAGAUAUCAGGAGGAACACCGGUGGCGAAGGCGGUUCUCUGGGCAUUACCUGACGCUGAGGAGCGAAAGUGUGGGGAGCGAAC